UUGACAUUUUGAACUCCAGGGAACAGCAAACCCAGGUUGUGUAAAGUCAGUAACUGGAGAUCUGAGUCAGCUCUCAAACCUGCCUCUGAAAGAGCAGAUCUGUUAUUGAUCAAGUAGUCUCCUGAUUAUACAAAUUAAAGUUAUUAUUGUUCGUUGUUGUCACGGCCAGGCGGAUCAGCUGCACGCUGAUCAGCACUCUCUCUGUUUCUCUCUCUUCCUCUCUCUCUCCGCUUCUCUCUCGCCAGGGCGGAACUCACUGUGGGUUCACGCCCUCGGCCCACGCCCUCGGGAGAUGAGACACCUGGGUCUCAUUAAGGUGAUCAGCAUUUAAGCCAGGAGGUGACUGCUGUUCGUCGCUGGAUCGUUGUCUACCACGCGUUAGUGAAGCCAACCUACAGCAAGUUGCGGCAAAAACGACAGUCCAGUGGUUUCUAUACUCAUUUGUUGCAACAACGGAGCCUACUCACUAAAAGAAGAAAAAGUCAGAGAAUACGGAGGUUGGACAUUUCUCAUACUGUAUAGUUCCUGUUUCUGUUCUUCUGUUGGAUCGUUAUGACAUCUGAACAACAUGGAAACAGACCUGCAGUGCAAGCUGAGCCUACAGGAGCAAAAGAGAAGACGCUGGGAUGAAGAAGAAAAACCCCCAAAUGUAGUUAGUUUAGCCUAGCUUGACCACAAAAAC
ensembl:lncRNA